rnacentral:rRNA from 1 species
GACGAACGCUGGCGGCGUGCCUAAUACAUGCAAGUAGAACGCUGAAGGAGGAGCUUGCUCUUCUGGAUGAGUUGCGAACGGGUGAGUAACGCGUAGGUAACCUGCCUGGUAGCGGGGGAUAACUAUUGGAAACGAUAGCUAAUACCGCAUAAGAGUAGAUGUUGCAUGACAUUUACUUAAAAGGUGCAAUUGCAUCACUACCAGAUGGACCUGCGUUGUAUUAGCUAGUUGGUGGGGUAACGGCUUACCAAGGCGACGAUACAUAGCCGACCGGAGAGGGUGAUCGGCCACACUGGGACUGGGACACGGCCCAGACUCCUACGGGAGGCAGCAGUAGGGAAUCUUCGGCAAUGGACGGAAGUCUGACCGAGCAACGCCGCGUGAGUGAAGAAGGUUUUCGGAUCGUAAAGCUCUGUUGUAAGAGAAGAACGAGUGUGAGAGUGGAAAGUUCACACUGUGACGGUAUCUUACCAGAAAGGGACGGCUAACUACGUG